GUGGGGAAUUUUGGACAAUGGACGCAAGUCUGAUCCAGCCAUUCCGCGUGCAGGAUGAAGGCCCUCGGGUUGUAAACUGCUUUUGUACGGAACGAAAAGGUCUCUCCUAAUACGAGAGGCUCAUGACGGUACCGUAAGAAUAAGCACCGGCUAACUACGUGCCAGCAGCCGCGGUAAUACGUAGGGUGCAAGCGUUAAUCGGAAUUACUGGGCGUAAAGCGUGCGCAGGCGGUUAUAUAAGACAGAUGUGAAAUCCCCGGGCUCAACCUGGGAACUGCAUUUGUGACUGUAUAGCUAGAGUACGGUAGAGGGGGAUGGAAUUCCGCGUGUAGCAGUGAAAUGCGUAGAUAUGCGGAGGAACACCGAUGGCGAAGGCAAUCCCCUGGACCUGUACUGACGCUCAUGCACGAAAGCGUGGGGAGCAAACAGGAUUAGAUACCCCGGUAGUCCGG
rnacentral:rRNA from 1 species